UGGAGGAAUGACGGAGAAUGAUUGAAUGCAUGACGGAGGAAUGAUGGAUGAUUGAAUGAAUGGCGAAGAAUGAUUGAAUGAAUGACGGAGGAAUGACGUAGAAUAAUUGAAUGAAUGAUGGAGGAAUGAUGGAGAAUGAUUGAAUGAAUGAUGGAAAAUGAAUGAAUGACGGGGGAAUGGCAGAGAAUGAUUGAAAGAAUGACGGAGGAAAGAUGGAGAAUGAUUGAAUGAAUGACGGAGAAUGAUUGAAUGAAUGACGGAGAAUGAUUGAAUGAAUGAUUGAAUGAAUGACGGAGGAUAAUUGAAUGAAUGAUGGAG